UUUAUACCAUUGGGUCAGGAUUGUCAGGCCUAGUUCUGAUUAACUAAAAUCCAUACGCCAGUACGAUAUAAAUGGUCGCACCCUACCUUUCUUUCUUCUUUCUUUCUUUCACUAUCCGCCGUCAUUAGGGUUUUACUCAACGCCUUCAAAAGUGGUCAAAUUCAUGGUAAACGGCAAAAAGUUACCGAUCCUACUAAAAAUGAAGCGACUCUAUGGGCAUGCCGGAUGAGGUGAAUGCCAAUGUCUUUGGUGGAUUUGUAGGGGGCAGAACUCACAAGGGCAAGAGAAAAGCCAUAUGGUGUAGAAAACUGUUGGUUCAUUGAAACUUAGUAAGGAAAAUAUGUAAAACUGGUUUUUUAUGUAUUAGUUUUGUCGAAGCAACUUAAAUAUUGAAACUUGCUAUUAAGUAAGUUCUUGUGUCUUGUAAUUCACCUCAUUGCAAGUGUACAUAUGAUGUUUUUAGUUUUGAGGA